GAUGAAGAACGCAGCGAAAUGCGAAAAGUAGUGUGAAUUGCAGAAUUCAGUGAAUCAUCGAAUCUUUGAACGCACAUUGCGCCCCUUGGUAUUCCAUGGGGCAUGCCUGUUCGAGCGUCAUUUGUACCUUCAAGCUUUGCUUGGUGUUGGGUGUUUGUCUCGCCUUUGCGUGUAGACUCGCCUUAAAAUAAUUGGCAGCCGGCGUAUUGAUUUCGGAGCGCAGUACAUCUCGCGCUUUGCACUCAUAACGACAGCGUCCAAAAGUACAUUUUACACUCUUGACCUCGGAUCAGGUAGGGAUACCCGCUGAUCUUAAGCAUAUCAAUAAGCGGAGGA
rnacentral:misc_RNA from 1 species